rnacentral:rRNA from 1 species
UCUCAGCUUAUUUUGCGCAGCUUAGGUGGGAGACGUUGAACUUCUUUUUCCGGAAAGGAGGGAGUCAUCAGUGAGAUACCACUCUUGGUAAGCUAGAGCGCUCAUUUCUAACCGUUAUCCGGUAGAAAGACAGUUUCAGGCGGGCAGUUUGACUGGGGCAGUCACCUCCCAAAAGGUAAUGGAGGUGUACAAAGGUUCGCUCAGGCUGGACGGAAAUCAGCCAUAGAGUGUAAAAGCAUAAGCGAGCUUGACUGCGAGACUGACAUGUCAAGCAGAGACGAAAGUCGGUUUUAGUGAUCCGACGGGCUGAGUGGAAAGGCCGUCGCUCAACGGAUAAAAGUUACUCUAGGGAUAACAGGCUGAA